UGGGUAUUAUUGCCCCCAUUGUGCUGAAAAAGAAACUGAUGCUUGGUCGAACGUUUUUUAAAUCUAUGAUUCAUGUGGAAAUUCCUGGUCAAUACGAAUACAUAAUACCUAAUUUUCUACUUCCUUUGAAGGUCACAAUGAAUAAACAAAAUCUGAUUCAGAGACUAUGCCAAGCCAGGUGAUAAGACAUCACCUUCAGAUGUGGGACCACUGCAGCUAUUAAAUCAGGAAUAUUUAGCUAUUAUUUGUAAUAAAUGUCAGCAGGGCUGAACUGAAGCCAGCAGGAAAUGUUCAGGGCAGAAAACACACUGACAUUCAUUCAUGCAAAUUUGUACCACGGGUAGAAUUAAUCAUAAAGAGGGAGGGUAGAGCAUACAAUGCAUUUAUAUUACUGGUUUGGCCAAUUCCCUUCUUCCUGAAUAUGAGAGUUAUAAUGUACAGAAAGCAAUCUGCUGACAGUCCCAUGUGAAGUGCAGGCAGCGAGAUUAACUUUCCCAAGCAGGCAUGUCUGGGUCUAUUGCAGACCAUCCCUCCUUCCCCACACUGUCCGUGGUCCUCUGAGGCAGCAUUGCAAUGUCCUUUUUCCUCUUUAAAAGAGAUCUAGAUUUAUCAUCCACAUAACUCUUCCCUCUUAAAAUUACAGGGACACUCUAAAAAACAUUCCCUGCAUACUACUGAGGGUGGGACCAGCUUACCCUAUUAUAAAUUAGAGUGCUUAUGUCACAUGGGGAAGAUGUGGCCUCAGGAACUAGGUUGUUGACUAUUAAGAAACUCAUUUACCAAAAACGAACAAAUUUUAAUCUUCCUCAGUCUCCCUUGGUGUAAAACGAGGCUAAACAACCCGUACAACUGAAUAAUUUAAUCUCCACAGAGAAGAUUGUAAUCACCAUGAUCAAACACAGCUCUCACUUACACUGAACGUCAAGGAGUAUAAUUUAAUUCUAUGAGUAAGUAAAGUUAACAGCAGAAAAGAAUUAGUGCAUUAAUUUUUUUUAGAAAGGUGAGAAAAAUACAGGAUGAAGGUAUAUCUUUAAAUUUUUCUCAUUUUCUUGUUACAUGAAAUUAUGAUUCACCAGGAAACAAAAACUACUGAAAGGAGUUGACAGAAAAAUUAUAGGUGACUUGAAAGAUACUAAUUAUUCUUGUGCUUUAGUCUUAUGAUUUUUUUUUUUUUGA
rnacentral:lncRNA from 1 species